rnacentral:rRNA from 1 species
UACAGAGGGUGCGAGCGUUAAUCGGAAUUACUGGGCGUAAAGGGCGCGUAGGCGGUUAAAUAAGUUAGAUGUGAAAUCUCCGAGCUUAACUUGGGAACUGCAUAUAAUACUGUUUAGCUAGAGUAGAAUAGAGGGGAGUGGAAUUUCCGGUGUAGCGGUGAAAUGCGUAGAUAUCGGAAAGAACACCAGUGGCGAAGGCGGCUUCCUGGAUUCAUACUGGCGCUGUGGCGCGAAAGCAUGGGGAGCAAACAGC